rnacentral:rRNA from 1 species
GACGUAGGGCGCGAGCGCUGUCCGGAUUUAUUGGGCGUAAAGAGCUCGUAGGCGGCUUGUCGCGUCGACUGUGAAAACCCGCGGCUCAACUGCGGGCCUGCAGCCGAUACGGGCAGGCUAGAGUUCGGUAGGGGAGACUGGAAUUCCUGGUGUAGCGGUGAAAUGCGCAGAUAUCAGGAAGAACACCCGUGGCGAAGGCGGCUCUCUGGGACGGUACUGACGCUGAGACGCGAAAGCGUGGGGAGCGAACAGG